rfam:Wolbachia endosymbiont of Drosophila simulans wNo, complete genome.
CUCUUAUGAAGUUGGUGGUGUCAUUCCAGUGCUUGACACUGGAAUCUAGAAAACUUAAUCAUAAACGAGCACACUAUACAACAUUUUUGAUGAAAUUUCAUAAUAAACUGGAUUCCAGCGUCAAGCACUGGAAUGACGCCAUUGUUAACAACAC